GCGAGGCACAGUGGCAUGUGCCUGUAGUCCCAGCUACUCAGGAGGCUGCAGCAGGAAGAUCACUUGAAUCCAGGGGUUCGAGGCCAGCCUGGGCAACAUAAUAAAACCCUGCCUU
rnacentral:sRNA from 1 species